UACGUAGGGUGCGAGCGUUGUCCGGAAUUAUUGGGCGUAAAGAGUUUGUAGGCGGUUUGUCGCGUCUGCCGUGAAAAUCCGGGGCUCAACCCCGGACUUGCGGUGGGUACGGGCAGACUAGAGUGUGGUAGGGGAGACUGGAAUUCCUGGUGUAGCGGUGAAAUGCGCAGAUAUCAGGAGGAACACCGAUGGCGAAGGCAGGUCUCUGGGCCACUACUGACGCUGAGAAGCGAAAGCGUGGGGAGCGAACAGG
rnacentral:rRNA from 1 species